rnacentral:rRNA from 1 species
GGGAAGGUAAAUCCGCCCAGGGUUAGUCGGGAGCUAAGGCGAGGCCGAAAGGCGUAGUCGAUGCACAGCAGGUUAAUAUUCCUGCACCGAUGCAGAGAUCAAAUCAGAGUGUGCUCUUUAGAUGAAGAUCCCCCGGUUAGUUGUGGGGGUGCCGCAAGGCCGGCUCCGUUUUGUUGAGUUAAGUCUUCUGAAGAAGGGUCGAGAAAAGCUCUGAGGGCAAAGCAUUGUCCGUACUAAAACUGACACAGGUAGGUGAGGAGAGUAUCCUAAGGCGCUCGAGAGAACUGCGGUUAAGGAACUAGGCAAUCUAACCCCGUAACUUCGGGAGAAGGG